rnacentral:rRNA from 1 species
AUUGAACGCUGGCGGCAUGCUUUACACAUGCAAGUCGAACGGCAGCGCGGGGGCAACCCUGGCGGCGAGUGGCGAACGGGUGAGUAAUAUAUCGGAACGUACCCAGAAGUGGGGGAUAACGUAGCGAAAGUUACGCUAAUACCGCAUACGAUCUACGGAUGAAAGUGGGGGACCUUCGGGCCUCAUGCUUUUGGAGCGGCCGAUAUCUGAUUAGCUAGUUGGUGAGGUAAAGGCUCACCAAGGCGACGAUCAGUAGCUGGUCUGAGAGGACGACCAGCCACACUGGAACUGAGACACGGUCCAGACUCCUACGGGAGGCAGCAGUGGGGGAAUUUUGGACAAUGGGGGGCAACCCUGAUCCAGCAAUGCCGCGUGAGUGAAGAA